UUGUUUGCAGGGGCGUAGCUACCCGGAGGCACGACAGCACGUGCAUCCACGUCGUUUUCACAAAAAAAAAAAAAAAAAAAAAAAAAGCAGAAGAGAGAGAGAUGAGUUGGUCAAUCGGAAUCGGAGACUGUUGGUAUCUUUUCCGUCUAUCCCGGAUAUUAGUUUGACACCUAGUUACAAGUGUUGAUGAAGCUGUUCAUUCAGAAAAG
rnacentral:lncRNA from 1 species